AAUUUUGGACAAUGGGGGAAACCCUGAUCCAGCCCUCCCGCGUGUAUGAUGAAGGCCUUCGGGUUGUAUAGUACUUUUUGCAGAGAAGAAAAGGUAUCUCCUAAUACGAGAUACUGCUGACGGUAUCUGCAGACUAAGCACCGGCUAUCUACGUGCCAGAAGCCGCGGUAAUACGUAGGGUGCGAGCGUUAAUCGGAAUUACUGGGCGUAAAGCGUGUGUAGGCGGGUCAGAAAGAAAGAUGUGAAAUCCCAGGGCUCAACCUUGGGACUGCAUUUUUAACUGCCGAGCUAGAGUAUGUCAGAGGGGGGUAGAAUUCCACGUGUAGCAGUGAAAUGCGUAGAUAUGUGGAGGAAUACCGAUGGCGAAAGCAGCCCCCUGGGAUAAUACUGACGCUCAGACACGAAAGCGUGGGGAGCAAACA
rnacentral:rRNA from 1 species